rnacentral:rRNA from 1 species
CGUACCUGGCGGCUGCCUACACAUGCAAGUCGUACGGAGAGUGGGGUGACUCACUCUCAGUGGCAAACGGGUGAGUAACACGUGAAUAACCUGCCUUUGAGAAGGGGAUAACUGUUCGAAAGGAUAGCUAAUACCCUAUAUUGCCUUUUGUCACUAAGGCAAAAGGUGAAAGCGAGGCUGUCAAAGGCUUCGGCUCAAAGAGGGGUUCGCGUCCUAUCAGGUAGUUGGUGGGGUAAUGGCCUACCAAGCCAAUGACGGGUAGCUGGUCUUAGAGGAUAAUCAGCCACAGUGGGACUGAGACACGGCCCGCACCCCUACGGGGGGCAGCAGUGGGGAAUCGUGGGCAAUGGGCGCAAGCCUGACCCCGCAAUGCCGCGUGAGGGAAGAAGCCCUUCGGGGUGUAAACCUCUGUCAGAUGGGAAGAUGGGACUAGGGGCUAAUACCUCCUAGUCUUGACGGUACCAUCAGAGGAAGGGACGGCUAACUACGUGCCAGCAGCCGCGGUAAU